rnacentral:rRNA from 1 species
AUGCUGGAGGUAUCAGAAGUGCGAAUGCUGACAUAAGUAACGAUAAAGCGGGUGAAAAGCCCGCUCGCCGGAAGACCAAGGGUUCCUGUCCAACGUUAAUCGGGGCAGGGUGAGUCGACCCCUAAGGCGAGGCCGAAAGGCGUAGUCGAUGGGAAACAGGUUAAUAUUCCUGUACUUGGUGUUACUGCGAAGGGGGGACGGAGAAGGCUAUGUUGGCCGGGCGACGGUUGUCCCGGUUUAAGCGUGUAGGCUGGUUUUCCAGGCAAAUCCGGAAAAUCAAGGCUGAGGCGUGAUGACGAGGCACUACGGUGCUGAAGCAACAAAUGCCCUGCUUCCAGGAAAAGCCUCUAAGCAUCAGGUAACAUCAAAUCGUACCCCAAACCGACACAGGUGGUCAGGUAGAGAAUACCAAGGCGCUUGAGAGAACUCGGGUGAAGGAACUAGGCAAAAUGGUGCCGUAACUUCGGGAGAAGGCACGCUGAUAUGUAGGUGAAGCGACUUGCUCGUGGAGCUGAAAUCAGUCGAAGAUACCAGCUGGCUGCAACUGUUUAUUAAAAACACAGCACUGUGCAAACACGAAAGUGGACGUAUACGGUGUGACGCCUGCCCGGUGCCGGAAGGUUAAUUGAUGGGGUUAGCGGUAACGCGAAGCUCUUGAUCGAAGCCCCGGUAAACGGCGGCCGUAACUAUAACGGUCCUAAGGUAGCGAAAUUCCUUGUCGGGUAAGUUCCGACCUGCACGAAUGGCGUAAUGAUGGCCAGGCUGUCUCCACCCGAGACUCAGUGAAAUUGAACUCGCUGUGAAGAUGCAGUGUACCCGCGGCAAGACGGAAAGACCCCGUGAACCUUUACUAUAGCUUGACACUGAACAUUGAGCCUUGAUGUGUAGGAUAGGUGGGAGGCUUUGAAGUGUGGACGCCAGUCUGCAUGGAGCCGACCUUGAAAUACCACCCUUUAAUGUUUGAUGUUCUAACGUGGACCCGUGAUCCGGGUUGCGGACAGUGUCUGGUGGGUAGUUUGACUGGGGCGGUCUCCUCCUAAAGAGUAACGGAGGAGCACGAAGGUUGGCUAAUCCUGGUCGGACAUCAGGAGGUUAGUGCAAUGGCAUAAGCCAGCUUGACUGCGAGCGUGACGGCGCGAGCAGGUGCGAAAGCAGGUCAUAGUGAUCCGGUGGUUCUGAAUGGAAGGGCCAUCGCUCAACGGAUAAAAGGUACUCCGGGGAUAACAGGCUGAUACCGCCCAAGAGUUCAUAUCGACGGCGGUGUUUGGCACCUCGAUGUCGGCUCAUCACAUCCUGGGGCUGAAGUAGGUCCCAAGGGUAUGGCUGUUCGCCAUUUAAAGUGGUACGCGAGCUGGGUUUAGAACGUCGUGAGACAGUUCGGUCCCUAUCUGCCGUGGGCGCUGGAGAACUGAGGGGGGCUGCUCCUAGUACGAGAGGACCGGAGUGGACGCAUCACUGGUGUUCGGGUUGUCAUGCCAAUGGCACUGCCCGGUAGCUAAAUGCGGAAGAGAUAAGUGCUGAAAGCAUCUAAGCACGAAACUUGCCCCGAGAUGAGUUCUCCCUGAC